ACUCCAUUUUAGCUAAGGUAGCUAAAGGCUGCAAGGACGGGACAGACAAUACAUCAUUUUUACUCACGUCUUCACGCCAUUGGGUGUUUCUUCCGAUGUCUCCUCAGGUUCGGACAUGAUGGAUGCUGUGCAUUCCUCUUGCUUUGACUCCUCAUCGAGAGUUUCAACAUCUGCCAUGUUGAGGUUUUUCUAGCCCCAUACAACGCAAGACGCCUUUGUCGCUACGCAGUUCAAAAUGUGUAGUGGAGAUUUGUGUCUCUAACGCGAGAUUUGGCAGAUGUUGCUAGGCAGCCAGGGUGAAUUGAAUAGUAGAAUAAGAAGGGUUACUGGACAAUAAGCACUAAUAAAAUGGGAUUAUGAAAAGAUUGUGCAAUGAUUGCUCUAAGUACAGAAACUAAGUGCAACCCACUAAGGCAAGGAUCCAUGCACAAGACAAGGCCUGACAAUUUGAAGUGUCUAAUAGAACCAAGCCAAAAGAGUCCAAAACACAUCAGCACACCUUGACACACAGGUUAUCUCGGGGAAUUUUUCUGCUGUUUAAAACCGAAAAAGAAAAAUGGAGCUCUCUAUACCACUUUUAAGCCAUGAAUUAUUGUACGUCGAACACCAGUGAUGACCAUCUCCCUCAUGGCAUGCCUUAUCCUCAGAUCCGAGUCACUGCACCACUGUGACAGAAACUACAUUGCUGAUAUGAAUUUGCACUGCAUAACAGCAAAAAUAGAUAGCCAGAUGCUUCACUGCUGCAUUUGGUUACAGUGAUCAAUCAGAUGACCUGCUGUUUGUUUGCUUUUACAAUGCUGCUUUUUAUUCACUACAGUAAAAUAUAUUUAAAUACCA